GAUGAAGAACGCAGCGAAAUGCGAUACGUAAUGUGAAUUGCAGAAUUCAGUGAAUCAUCGAAUCUUUGAACGCAUAUUGCGCUCUCUGGUAUUCCGGAGAGCAUGCUUGUUUGAGUAUCAGUAAACACCUCAACUUCCAUAUCUUUUUUGAAAUGGGAGUUGGACUUGAGUGAUCCCAACGCUUUUCCUCACCGAAAAUUGGCGGGUUACUUGAAAUGCAGGUGCAGCUGGACUUUUCUCUGAGCUAUAAGCAUAUCUAUUUAGUCUGCCUAAAAAACAGAUUAUUACCUUUGCUGCAGCUAACAUAAAGGAGAUUAGUUCUUGUGCUGACUGAUGCAGGAUUCACAAAGACGGCUUCGGCCGACUUUGUAAACUCGAUCUCAAAUCAAGUAAGACUACCCGCUGAACUUAAGCAUAUCAAUAAGCGGAGGA
rnacentral:misc_RNA from 1 species